GCUUGGGUUCACUUCUGUUUCCUACUUAUGUUUAUACUGAUUCAUGCAUUGGGAAGCCUAUUAUAAUUAUAAAUGAGGAUAUAAACGCAAAUAGAGGAUUCACAAUCAUCCAACCUUUUGAUUCUAAUGCAACUUUAUUUGGAAAUGCACCCUGUUCAGGAUGCCCAGCACAGAACAUUACUAAUUUCUUGGAAAAAUACUGUGUAUUGGUUAUGGGAAAUAAUAAUACAGAAGAAAACCACCAAACUGGGAAACAAAAACAGAGUGGUAACGAUGAGUUAAUUGAUGUAGAAAAAAAUGGAAGCUCAUAUUACAUAUAUUUGAAAAAAAACUACAUUUCUAUGGUUCCAAUAUUGCGGCUCAUACAUGGAUGUGAAAAUCUAACAGAAUUAUUGUGCCCUGAAUGAUUUUCAGGUACAUUUUAAAUAUUUAUCUGCUGAU
rnacentral:lncRNA from 1 species